rnacentral:tmRNA from 1 species
GGGGAUGACAGGCUUUCGACAGGGUAGGUGUAAGGUGGCGUUGCACUCCGAGUUUCAGCAUGGAUGGACUCGUUAAAGAAGUCUAUGCAACCUUUAGAUGCAGACGAUUAUUCGUAUGCAAUGGCUGCCUAAUUAGCAAAAGUUAAUUAACCAGCCAUCGCUCUUCAGCGGAGGCGCUUACUCCAAGGCUGUUAGAGUGGCAUAAUUCGCGCUUGAGCUCUGCUCGCGCAAGUAAGCUCCGUUUUGUAUUGCCUGAUGUGCUUAGCGGGUAUUUAUUCGGGAUAGUAAGUUGAACGUUACAAGUGUCGUACCAACUUAUGAAUCUUAAACACUUGAGAUGAGUGUGGUAGCGUUAUCAAGCAAUAUUCUGGACGCGGGUUCGAAUCCCGCCAUCUCCACCA